CCUACGGGGGGCAGCAGUGAGGAAUAUUGGUCAAUGGGCGGAAGCCUGAACCAGCCAAGUCGCGUGAGGGAAGAAGGCCCUGCGGGUCGCAGACCUCUUUGGACGGGGAGCAAGGCCGCCGACGUGUCGGCGGAAGGAGAGUACCCGUAGAACAAGCAUCGGCUAACUCCGUGCCAGCAGCCGCGGUAAUACGUAGGGGGCAAGCGUUAUCCGGAUUUACUGGGUGUAAAGGGAGCGUAGACGGCCAGACAAGUCAGAAGUGAAAGCCCAGGGCUCAACCCUGGGACUGCUUUUGAAACUGCCGG
rnacentral:rRNA from 1 species